rnacentral:rRNA from 1 species
GACGAACGCUGGCGGCGUGCUUAAUACAUGCAAGUCGAACGAACAGGCCCUGAUUUUGUUGCGUGCUCGAGUGCCGAGCAGGUGAGUAACACGUGAGUAACCUCCCCUUAUCUUUGGGAUAACUUCACGGAACUGGGGCUCAUACCGCAUAGAAGCUCCUGCAGCGUGUUGGGGGAUGGAAAGAUUCGGCGGUUCGGGAUGGACUCGCGGCUUAUGCGCUUGUUGGUGGGGUAGUGGCUUACCAAGGCUUUGACGGAUAGCCCGCCUGAGAGGGGGACCAGCCACAUGGGGACUGAGAGAGGGACCAGAAGCCUACGGGCGGCAGUAGGCGGGAACAUUGCACAAUGGGCGGAAGCCUGAGGCAGCAGUGUCGCGUGCGGGAUGACGGCCUUCUGGUUGUAAACCGCUGUCGACGGUGACGAAGCGGGAGUGACGGUAAUGGGUCAAGAAGCACCGGCUAACUACGUG